rnacentral:rRNA from 1 species
UAACCUGCCCAAGAGAUCGGGAUAACACCUGGAAACAGAUGCUAAUACCGGAUAACAACAGAUGAUGCCUAUCAACUGUUUAAAAGAUGGUUCUGCUAUCACUCUUGGAUGGACCUGCGGUGCAUUAUCUAGUUGGUAGGGUAACGGCCUACCAAGGCGAUGAUGCAUAGCCGAGUUGAGAGACUGAUCGGCCACAUUGGGACUGAGACACGGCCCAAACUCCUACGGGAGGCAGCAGUU